AACUGGUAUGAGAAAAUAAAACUAACAUUAAAUUUGAAUGCAAACAAUUUUUUGUAUUGUACGUUAAAAAUUUGAGAUAGUACUUUCUAAGUGAGUAAUAAUUGACCUUUCAAAAAACAUAUUAAUUGUUUCGAUUCGCGACUGUAAUUAAACAAGUUAUGUAUACGCGCUAACUCGUUAAGAACCGUUUUUGUUUGAUUCGUUAUCUACAUUAACAACCGGCUUCUGUGAUGCUAAAGACUUCUAAUACUUCAUAUUCGAAACCUGAACAUAGACUACUUGAAAUUUUAUUAAGGUGUACAUGUUAGCCGAAAAUGGUGAAUAUACAUUAAGUAUUUUUAAACCAAUUGGUGACGCAUGCAUUCAAUAAAUAUUUAUUGAUGUGAGGCUGGUGGUUAAUGAGUUCAUAUAACUUUUUGCAAUCGAUCACUUCAGAUAAGAUAGUAUUUCUUGUUAGCAUUAUCUGACAAUUCUGAUAAGGGCAAAAUUCCGUCUUCUAAUUAGUGAGAAGCGAUUGAGCGUUCAACCCCGCAGGAGUUUUUUAAACGCUACAGUCGAGUUCCGUGACUAUCAGAUACCAGUUAGAAAAAAACCCACAAAGAAAAAAAGAGCGGACCUGGCAGAUAAAAAUUAAAUAAUCAAACAAAUUUCAAAAGUGUCUGCGCGAUGUUUUGAAAUAAAAAUUCGGUGUGUCAAGACCAUUUACACCUUAUUCAACGAGUCGAGAAUACCCUUUCAAUCUGCGAGUAACGGGCAUGUGUACACAAAUUUUAUGUAAAUAUUUGCAUUACUCCUGUGGCCAAAUUAGGAAAAGAGUCACACAAAUUAUCGGCAUAUAAGCUUUGACUGGUGUGUAAAUUAAUCUAAAAUAACUAGAAUCAACAAAAUUGUUUUCUGUCCUAAAACUGGAGCCACUGGAAAAUAUUUUGCGGCAACGUUCAAAUGUCGACAUUGAGGAUAAAAUGAAAAAUUACAACGCUUGAUUACAAUCAAUUUUCUUUUUAUUUAAAAACUAAUGGAAAUUACCUUAAAAUUUAAAUUACUUAUACAAAUUCAACAAAAGCAUUAAAACUAAUCCGCUUCAAAUGAGUACAUAA